rnacentral:lncRNA from 1 species
UUGUGAACUGGUCAGUGAUUUUCGGAAAGUGGAGCUGCAUUCAAGGUUUGAGAUAUAGUUUAUGUCGACUGGAUGAGUUGUUUGAUCUCUUUGCCCUGUUCUUCGAGAUGGGUUGCGAUGAAAACUCUUGGGGCCAUGAGCAACACUUGAGGCUCCUCUUCAUAAGCACAAAAGCUGCAGCAAGUAGAAAUUGGAGAGGUAAACCUAAUAGUGUUCAUUAUGAGAUAAUCUGAACCAUGUACAGAGUCCGCCACAGUUCAAACAAAAUCUCUGUACUGAAGGUGGUGUGGCGUUGAAGCUGUCAUGUCCUCGGCCAUGCCCGCCCAUUGAAAUCUCUGUUAUUUUCCUCUACUUGUAUUCCACCUUUUCGUUGCAAUUCAAUUUUUAGGAUCAGCAGUAUCUAUGCGAUUAAUUUCAAACUUCGCAGGAUCUUUCAACAUGUCAGUUACACUCUAAUAAGUAUUCAUCUUUAAUUUCCUACCCUAUAGUGGGCAACACAGUUUGUUCUAUGUGCAUGAACACUGAUAAAUUAAUUUGUGUUAGCAUGUAGUGGUUCAAGGAUGCUAAAAUUUUGUACUAUAAUCUGUUUCCAGGUGCUUGAAACUUGCUUUUUUGUCGACCUAUAUUGCAACUUCUGCUGUAGUCAGCAUAGAAUUAUAUUGCUGCAUUACGGCGCUUUCCAUUAGAACACACGACUUAUGUUGAUCAUGCAAUUGUGUUCUUUGUUUUUUCUGUUUUGUGCAGUUGAAGAGCUUUGUACAGAACCAGAGAUUAGGAGGAAUGGAAAUAUAAGAAACAAUUCAGGAAGAUUCCCUAGGGAAGCAAAAAUUGUUUCCUGGUCUGUCUAGGUCCAUUUAGGAAAUUAGAUGACUGUUGUAAUAUGAAUUUUACAUCCGUUCCAAGAAAAAGUGAUGUUUCUAUUUACAUCCAUUUUGGUGUGAUAAAUAUUGGUUCUGAACGUAUGCUUUCUCUUUCUAUGUGUUGCAACAUAUAAAUUGUGUGAAUUUUUUG